rnacentral:rRNA from 1 species
CCUACGGGUGGCAGCAGUGGGGAAUAUUUGGCAAUGGGCGCAAGCCUGACCCAGCAACGCCGCGUGAAGGCAGAAGGCAUGCGGGUUGUCAACUUCUUUUAAGAGGGAAGAGCAGAAGACGGUACCUCUUGAAUAAGCCACGGCUAACUACGUGCCAGCAGCCGCGGUAAUACGUAGGGGGCAAGCGGUGUCCGGAUUUACUGGGUGUAAAGGGCGUGUAGCCGGGCUGACAAGUCAGAUGUGAAAUCCGGGGGCUCAACCCCCGAACUGCAUUUGAAACUGUUGGUCUGGAGUAUCGGAGAGGCAGGCGGAAUUCCCAGUGUAGCGGUGAAAUGCGUAGAUAUUAGGCGGAACACCAGUGGCGAAGGCGGCCUGCUGGACGGUGACUGACGCUGAGGCUCGAAAGCGUGGGGAGCAAACAGGAUUAGAUACCCGUGUAGUC